rnacentral:rRNA from 1 species
UACGUAGGGGGCAAGCGUUGUCCGGAUUUAUUGGGCGUAAAGAGCGUGUAGGCGGCUGGGUAGGUCCGCUGUGAAAACUCGAGGCUUAACCUCGAGACGUCGGUGGAAACCAUCCAGCUAGAGUCCGGAAGAGGAGAGUGGAAUUCCUGGUGUAGCGGUGAAAUGCGCAGAUAUCAGGAAGAACACCCGUGGCGAAAGCGGCUCUCUGGGACGGUACUGACGCUGAGACGCGAAAGCGUGGGGAGCGAACAGG